rnacentral:rRNA from 1 species
AACGAACGCUGGCGGCAUGCCUAACACAUGCAAGUCGAACGAGACCUUCGGGUCUAGUGGCGCACGGGUGCGUAACGCGUGGGAACCUGCCCUUAGGUUCGGAAUAACUCCCCGAAAGGGGUGCUAAUACCGGAUAAUGUCUUCGGACCAAAGAUUUAUCGCCUUUGGAUGGGCCCGCGUUGGAUUAGCUAGUUGGUAGGGUAAAAGCCUACCAAGGCGACGAUCCAUAGCUGGUCUGAGAGGAUGAUCAGCCACACUGGGACUGAGACACGGCCCAGACUUCUACGGGAGGCAGCAGUGGGGAAGAUUGGAAAAUGGGCGAAAGCCUGAUCCAGCAAUGCCGCGUGAGUGAUGAAGGUCUUAGGGUUGUAAAGCUCUUUUACCCGGGAUGAUAAUGACAGUACCGGGAGAAUAAGCUCCGGCUAACUCCGUG